CGGGUGUCUGGGGCGGACGGCAAGUUUACUUUGAACAAAUUUGAGUGCUCAAAGCAGGCCUAUGCCUGACAAUUCUUGCAUGGAAUAAUGGAAUAGGACUUCGGUUCUAUUUUGUUGGUUUUCGGAUCCGAAGUAAUGGUUAAGAGGGACAGACGGGGGCAUUUGUAUGGCGGUGUUAGAGGUGAAAUUCUAUGAUCAUCGCCAGACAAACUAAAGCGAAAGCAUUUGCCAAGGAUGUUUUCAUUAAUCUGGAGCGAAAGUCAGAGGUUCAAAGACGAUCAGAUACCGUCGUAGUUCUGACCAUAAACGAUACCAACUGACGAUCCGUGGGUGCUCGUUCAUUGACCCCAUGGGCAGUCCCCGGGAAACCUUGAAGUCUUUGGGUUCCGGGGGAAGUAUGGUUGCAAAGCUGAAACUUAAAGGAAUUGACGGAAGGGCACCACCAGGAGUGGAGCGUGCGGUUCAAUUCGACUCAACACGGGAAAUCUCACCCGGCCCGGACACUGUGAGGAUUGACAGAUUGAGAGCUCUUUCUUGAUUCGGUGGUUGGUGGUGCAUGGCCGUUCUUAGUUGGUGGAGCGAUUUGUCUGGUUAAUUCCGAUAACGAACGAGACUUUGGCCUGCUAAAUAGUAUGCCUGUCCUCUGCUCUUGUGCGGGUGGCGGUAGUGGUAGCCUUUCGGGGUGAUACUGCCGUACGCCGGCGAGGGCUGCGCGGGUCUAUACUUCUUAGAGGGACAAGCGGUUUUUAGCCGCACGAAAUUGAGCA
rnacentral:rRNA from 1 species